UUUUAUAUCUACCAAAGUAACAAAUCCUGCAUACACAGACGUCAACGGGUCGGAUUAGGGGCGGAUUUUCAAAAAUCCGAACCCGACUGCAAACCCGAGAUCCGAAUCCGAAUCUGAAUCCGAAUCCGACGGAUUUAAAAAAUCCAUAUUCAAAUCCGAACCCGACCAAAAAUUCGAAACUCGAACCCGAACCCGAAAAUUUGAACCUGAAACAAUUAUUUCUUUUUUCAAUAUUUCAAAAUAUAUUAUAUUAAAUAUAGAUUUUUAAAAUAUAAAUUCAAAUAUAACAUCAAAUUUUUAUAUAUAUUAUAUAUAAUACAAAAUAAAUUUGGAUUCCGGCCGGAUUCGGGUUUGGGUUUGGGUUGGGUACAGUCAAAAUCCAUAUUCGAAUUCAUAUCCAUCGGAUUUCUAUUUUUGAUAUCCCUAUUUCAAUCCAUAUCCAUUUAGCAUCGAAUAUAUCUGUUUCAUUCGGAUUCGGAUUCGGAUAAAAUUUCGGAUAUCCAUACCCAUUGACAUCCCUACCUGCAUACAUAAAUUGCUAAAAAAAUUAAUAUCAAGCAUAAGUUAG
rnacentral:lncRNA from 1 species